GAAACAGCGCUGGUCUGGCCUGAGACACCUGUGGCACCUUGACUUGGCUCUGCCCUCCUUUUUUCCGUGGCAGUCACAGGAAAGUGGACCCCAAAAUGCUGAGCUGCAGCCAUGAGAAACCAAAGGCUAAAACAUGGCUGAAAACACAAGAAAAGCAAGAGACAUUUUCCACCACGUGAA